rnacentral:rRNA from 1 species
GUAACACGUGAGCAACCUGCCCCUGACUCUGGGAUAAGCGCUGGAAACGGUGUCUAAUACUGGAUAUGAGCUACCACCGCAUGGUGAGUGGUUGGAAAGAUUUUUCGGUUGGGGAUGGGCUCGCGGCCUAUCAGCUUGUUGGUGAGGUAAUGGCUCACCAAGGCGUCGACGGGUAGCCGGCCUGAGAGGGUGACCGGCCACACUGGGACUGAGACACGGCCCAGACUCUACGGGAGGCAGCAGUGGGGAAUAUUGCACAAUGGGCGGAAGCCUGAUGCAGCAACGCCGCGUGAGGGACGACGGCCUUCGGGUUGUAAACCUCUUUUAGCAGGGAAGAAGCGAGAGUGACGGUACCUGCAGAAAAAGCGCCGGCUAACUACGUGCCAGCAGCCGCGGUAAUACGUAGGGCGCAAGCGUUAUCCGGAAUUAUUGGGCGUAAAGAGCUCGUAGGCGGUUUGUCGCGUCUGCUGUGAAAACCCGAGGCUCAACCUCGGGCCUGCAGUGGGUACGGGCAGACUAGAGUGCGGUAGGGGAGAUUGGAAUUCCUGGUGUAGCGGUGGAAUGCGCAGAUAUCAGGAGGAACACCGAUGGCGAAGGCAGAUCUCUGGGCCGUAACUGACGCUGAGGAGCGAAAGGGUGGGGAGCAAACAGGCUUAGAUACCCUGGUAGUCCACCCCGUAAACGUUGGGAACUAGUUGUGGGGUCCUUUCCACGGAUUCCGUGACGCAGCUAACGCAUUAAGUUCCCCGCCUGGGGAGUACGGCCGCAAGGCUAAAACUCAAAGGAAUUGACGGGGACCCGCACAAGCGGCGGAGCAUGCGGAUUAAUUCGAUGCAACGCGAAGAACCUUACCAAGGCUUGACAUACACGAGAACGCUGCAGAAAUGUAGAACUCUUUGGACACUCGUGAACAGGUGGUGCAUGGUUGUCGUCAGCUCGUGUCGUGAGAUGUUGGGUUAAGUCCCGCAACGAGCGCAACCCUCGUUCUAUGUUGCCAGCACGUAAUGGUGGGAACUCAUGGGAUACUGCCGGGGUCAACUCGGAGGAAGGUGGGGAUGACGUCAAAUCAUCAUGCCCCUUAUGUCUUGGGGCUUCACGCAUGCUACAAUGGCCGGUACAAAGGGCUGCAAUACCGUGAGGUGGAGCGAAUCCCAAAAAGCCGGUCCCAGUUCGGAUUGAGGUCUGCAACUCGACCUCAUGA